GGAACGUAGCAUGGCAGAUACCUCUCUUAUGCUCUUUUACUCCCAAGAAAUCUGAAGCAAACUGAAUGGAUGUAGACAACGGACGUGGGACUGAGAGGAUUGCCAGCUGAAGAGCCAAUGUCAUGGUUUUGGAGUAUGUUGUGCUGGGUGCUUGUGUUCGUCGACCUGAAGCUCCAGGUCUUGUGCCAAGGGACGUGGCCUUGGCUGAGUGUUGCAAUCACACCUGGCUGUCAUCACCUAUCAACAUCAGGGUAUUAAAUCAACUUUCUGACAACCACUCGGUGCCUCAUGAUCAACCAUUUUGGUAGCAGAACUUUGCAGAUGAGAAGGACCUUCGUGGUGACCAUCUUCAGAGCUUUUAGUUCCUGACAUGUUCAGCCACCUCCUCCCUAGCGAUAAGCUUCUCCGGAUAAACAUUUGUGCCAACAGUCGUUUCAUUGAGCUGCUUUUACUUGCAAAUACAAAUUCUCGAGAAGAGUCAAUGAGUACACUAUUGACCUUUCUGCUUCAACUUAUGGUAUAAACUUAUGGUAUAUCCUAGUGACCCAUUGGAUGAUGACCCAUUCAGUUCUAUUAGCUAAAACAAAUUUUAGCUUCUGCUCUCAUCUACCUAAAAGAAAAUUAGUUCAAGAUCAGGAAGUUUCCUGGCCAACAUGUUAAUGCUCUGAUCUUUGAGGCAAUUUAUUUUUUUUGCGGUCUGACAGUGCCACACCCUGCUGGAAAACACAGAUUGUUACUAAAUUAGCCCUACAUUGUUAAAGGUCUGCUUUCUUGGGCAGAAUUGUGUGCUUAAAACCUUGGAGGAGAAGCAAUCCCUGCUGAAUCAGGAUGCGUCUCUCCAGCCACCACACAGAACUCAAUGCAGUGCACAACUUUUCUGGUCCCAAAUAAUGGAAAGGAGGAUUCAUCAAAUAAAAUAAAUUUUGCCUUA